GACGAAGGGGGCUAGCGUUGCUCGGAAUCACUGGGCGUAAAGGGUGCGUAGGCGGGUCUUUAAGUCAGGGGUGAAAUCCUGGAGCUCAACUCCAGAACUGCCUUUGAUACUGAAGAUCUUGAGUCCGGGAGAGGUGAGUGGAACUGCGAGUGUAGAGGUGAAAUUCGUAGAUAUUCGCAAGAACACCAGUGGCGAAGGCGGCUCACUGGCCCGGUACUGACGCUGAGGCACGAAAGCGUGGGGAGCAAACAGG
rnacentral:rRNA from 1 species